AUGAAAGACAAGAGGAAGAAGAAGGACCGCACCUGGGCCGAGGCUGCCCGCCUGGCACUAGAAAAACACCCCAACUCACCAAUGACAGCAAAGCAGAUAUUGGAAGUCAUUCAGAAAGAAGGGUUAAAAGAAACAAGUCUGGUUUCAGACCCCGGCAUGGCUUGGAGACAGCGUUGGUGUGUAUGAAGGAUCUUCCUCCAAUGAAGGAUUUGGGACAACUUUCCAUGAUGAUUAUAUUAGAGCCUCAGCUGCUUUCGUGUUGGUCAUGAGGUGAUGCUGAACCGAAUGCUUGAACUAGCAGGAGUGGCUGGGAUUGCAUUGGAGUGGUUCCGUUCAUUCCUUCCGGUGGAACCUCUCCAUUAGCCUGUCUGAAUGCAAUGCUUCACACUAACACUCGAAUAGGGGAUGGAACAUUCUUCAAAAUCCCUGGAAAGUCAGGCCUCUAUGCUCUCAAAAAAGAGGAGUCGUCAUGCCCAGCAGAUGGCACGUUGGAUUUAGUCUGUGAAUCUGAAUUGGAUGGUACAGAUAUGGCCGAGGCAAAUGCCCAUGGAGAAGAAAAUGGAGUUUGUUCGAAGCAGGUAACUGAUGAAGCAU
rnacentral:lncRNA from 1 species